rnacentral:rRNA from 1 species
CCAGAAACCGGUUGAUCCUGCCGGACCCGACCGCUAUCGGGGUGAGGCUUAGCCAUGCGAGUCGGAUGUCUUGGGGAUCCGCCAGGGCAUGGCGGACGGCUCAGUAACACGUGGCCAACCUACCCUAGGGAGGGGGAUAACCCCGGGAAACUGGGGCUAAUUCCCCAUAGGAGAGGGAAGCUGGAAUGCUCCCUCCCCGAAAAGAACCGCGUCCGGCACCCGGCUCGGCUCGCCCUAGGAUGGGGCUGCGGUCCAUCAUGGUUGUUGGUGGGGUAAUGGCCCACCAAGCCGAAGACGGAUGGGGGCCGUGAGAGCGGGAGCCCCGAGAUGGGCACUGAGACAAGGGCCCAGGCCCUAUGGGGUGCAGCAGGCGCGAAACCUCCGCAAUGCAGGAAACUGCGACGGGGUUACCCCGAGUGCCGCCCGAUGAGGGCGGCUUUUCUCCGGUGUAGAAAGCCGGAGGAAUAAGCGGGGGGCAAGUCUGGUGUCAGCCGCCGCGGUAAUACCAGCUCCGCGAGUGGUCGGGGUGAUUACUGGGCCUAAAGCGCCCGUAGCCGGCCCGGCAAGCCUUGCUCUGAAAUCCCCAAGCUCAACUUGGGGGCGGGGGAAGGUACUGCCGGGCUUGGGGGCGGGAGAGGCCGAGGGUACUCCUGGGGUAGGGGCGAAAUCCGAUAAUCCCAGGAGGACCACCAGUGGCGGAGGCGCUCGGCUGGAACGCGCCCGACGGUGAGGGGCGAAAGCUGGGGGAGCAAAGGGGAUUAGAUACCCCUGUAGUCCCAGCUGUAAACUAUGCGGGCUGGCUGUUGGGUGGGCUUAGAGCCCGCCCAGUGGCGUAGGGAAGCCGUUAAGCCCGCCGCCUGGGGAGUACGGCCGCAAGGCUGAAACUUAAAGGAAUUGGCGGGGGGGCACCACAAGGGGUGAAGCUUGCGGCUUAAUUGGAGUCAACGCCGGAAACCUUACCCAGGGCGACAGCAAGAUGAUGGCCAGGCUAACGACCUUGCCUGAUGAGCUGAGAGGAGGUGCAUGGCCGUCGCCAGCUCGUGCUGUGAAGUGUCCGGUUAAGUCCGGCAACGAGCGAGACCCCCACUUCUAGUUGCCACCCAGUUCCUCGGAAUUGGGGGCACACUAGAGGGACUGCCGGCGUAAGCCGGAGGAAGGAGGGGGCCACGGCAGGUCAGUAUGCCCCGAAACCCUGGGGCCGCACGCGAGCUGCAAUGGCUGGAACAGCGGGAUUCGACCCCGAGAGGGGAAGAUGAUCCCGUAAAUCCAGCCCCAGUAGGGAUCGAGGGUUGCAAUUCACCCUCGUGAACUUGGAAUCCCUAGUAACCGCGUGUCACCAACGCGCGGUGAAUACGUCCCUGCCCCUUGCACACACCGCCCGUCGCGCCAUCCAAGGGAGUUUCUAGCGAGGCUCCUUGGGUUUCACCCGGGGAGUCGAGCUGGGGGCUCCCGAGGAGGGCGAAGUCGUAACAAGGUGGCCGUAGGGGAACCUGCGGCCGGAUCACCUCCUU